rnacentral:rRNA from 1 species
GACAGAGGGUGCAAACGUUGUUCGGAAUUACUGGGCGUAAAGCGCGUGUAGGCGGUUCGUCAAGUCGGAUGUGAAAGCCCUGGGCUUAACCCAGGAAGUGCAUUCGAAACUCACGAACUUGAGUCCCGGAGAGGAAGGCGGAAUUCUCGGUGUAGAGGUGAAAUUCGUAGAUAUCGGGAGGAACAUCAGUGGCGAAGGCGACCACCUGGCCCAACACUGACGCUGAGGUGCGAAAGCGUGGGUAGCAAACAGG